rnacentral:rRNA from 1 species
UACGUAGGGUGCAAGCGUUGUCCGGAAUUAUUGGGCGUAAAGAGCUCGUAGGCGGUCUGUCGCGUCGGAUGUGAAAAUCCAGGGCUCAACCCUGGACCUGCAUUCGAUACGGGCAGACUAGAGUUCGGUAGGGGAGACUGGAAUUCCUGGUGUAGCGGUGAAAUGCGCAGAUAUCAGGAGGAACACCGGUGGCGAAGGCGCCACUCUGGGCCGAAACUGACGCUGAGGAGCGAAAGCGUGGGGAGCAAACAGG